GGGGGGAGGCCAGAUCCUGGGCUGUGUUCCGGCGCCCUGUGCUCCCGGUCUGCGCUGUCGGAUUUGCGCUCCCGGACGCGCAGCUCCCU
rnacentral:pre_miRNA from 1 species